rnacentral:rRNA from 1 species
AACGUAGGACGCGAGCGUUAUCCGGAGUUACUGGGCGUAAAGGGCGGGCAGGCGGCCUGGCAAGAUGGGUGUGAAAUCUCCCGGCUCAACCGGGAGGGCCACUUGUGACUGCGAGGCUGGAGGGUGACAGAGGCGCGUGGAAUUCCGGGUGGAGUGGUGAAAUGCGUAGAGAUCCGGAGGAACACCAGAGGCGAAGGCGGCGCGCUGGGUCACAACUGACGCUGAACCGCGGAAGCCAGGGCAGCGAAC